UCUCACUGAAAUUGCCUUCCAAUCCCAUGAAAAAUGCUCCUUGCCUCUGCCUGUUAGCUGAAAGUCAGACGUCUUUCAGCUUCAUUGAAUCAUGAAUUUUGUAAGGAAGACAUUAUAAAAUUCAAUAUUAAGACUACCUGCUGCCUGCUUAUUGGCUCUUUCACCUUUUCCUGCUAUAUACUCACCUGAAACCAACACCUCCACCUUCCCCUACUUUUUAAAAUGACCACACAAAUACAGUCAUUUUGCUUGAAAGGUAUUCUGUUUCCAUAAUGUCAUAAUGUUGGACUCUAGGUGGCAGCA